CACGUAGGGGGCGAGCGUUGUCCGGAUUUAUUGGGCGUAAAGAGCUCGUAGGCGGUUUGUCGCGUCUGCUGUGAAAAUCCAGGGCUUAACCCUGGACCUGCAGUGGGUACGGGCAGACUAGAGUGCGGUAGGGGAGAUCGGAAUUCCUGGUGUAGCGGUGAAAUGCGCAGAUAUCAGGAGGAACACCGGUGGCGAAGGCGGAUCUCUGGGCCGUAACUGACGCUGAGGAGCGAAAGCGUGGGGAGCGAACAGG
rnacentral:rRNA from 1 species